UCCUCCUCCGAUUUCUCCUCUUUCUUCCUUCUCUUCCUUGUUUUUUCUAUCUUCUUUUUCUUCUCCUCCAGAUCUGCAACAUUUUCAUGCCUAGUUUGUUGUUGAGCAUAGUGGAUCGGCUGACUUUCUUCUUCUCUCUAAUGUCUUCGAACCCAAAUCUGAUCCCCAAUUUAAGAAAAAGAUAGAUUGAUAUCAAGUCUUUACUUGAUCCCUUAUUUCGAUACUCUGCUCAAACUGUUAUAGGAUCUUGAAUUGUUUUUUAAUGUUCUUGGUUCCUGUUAUUUGUUGUGGAUUGCUUUAGAUGUGUAGGUUUAUGAAAAUAUUUGCGAGAUCUGGGUUUUGCAGAAUCAUUGUGAGUAGAAAUUGGAGGUGGAGGUGAAAGAGAGCUAUCCUGGUUUCCAGCACACGAAAAAUUUGAAACAUGUAUAGUAAGUUUUGGGAUAUGAGUUCGAUCAGUUUGCUAUUGUGAUAGAUGCUUGAUUAGUUACUCUCCGUUGGAAGUUUUGCUUCUUAAUUUCAUCUCAGCUUAGAAGGAGCCAAGAGGACAAGUAUUGAUGUAUGGACUUGCUUUGAUUAUCAGCCUCAGCAAAAGAGAGUUUAAUGUUGGGAAUUUCCAGAGAGUACAACUGCGAAAAGGAAGGAGGAAAACAAAACAGUAGCAGCUACAUUGUUCUUUUCAUAUUCUCUGGUUGUAUUAUGCUUUUCGUUGUUCACCUUGUAAUUUUUCACUGGGAGAGGCGUUGGCGUUCAUCCUCCUCUCCCUCCCUGUAUCAUUUCUCGCAUAAAUUGGAUAAUUUGUUGAUUUGA